GUCCCGUACAUUGAAAACCUGGGUUUUCAGGUGGCACCUGGAGAGAGCGUCAGUGUUGGCAUCUCACAAACAAAGGUAACGAAUUUACCGUCUCCAUAUGGGAAUUGUGCAGAAAAAAAUCUGGCAUAUUAUGAUUCGUAUUCUACGUUGAAUUGCAUAGCGGAGUGCACAUUGAAUUUUACGAUGGACAAUUGUGGCUGCCGGGCUUACUA